AUCAUACUCCCUCCGUUCCACAAUACAUGACUUUCAUUUGUUAAAAUAUAGAUGUAUCUAGACAUGUUUUAGUAUAUAGGUACAUUCAUUUUUUAACAAAUGGAAGUCCAGUAUUUUGGAACGGAGGGAGUACUUG
rfam:Triticum aestivum genome assembly, contig: Triticum_aestivum_CS42_TGACv1_scaffold_362345_4DS